UUAAAUUGAAGAGUUUGAUCAUGGCUCAGAUUGAACGCUGGCGGCAGGCUUAACACAUGCAAGUCGAGCGGAAACGAGUUAUCUGAGCCUUCGGGGGACGAUAACGGCGUCGAGCGGCGGACGGGUGAGUAAUGCCUAGGAAAUUGCCCUGAUGUGGGGGAUAACCAUUGGAAACGAUGGCUAAUACCGCAU
rnacentral:rRNA from 1 species